rnacentral:lncRNA from 10 species
UAAUGGAAGAUCCUAUUCCAGAAAACUUCCUAAUCUGAAAACGACAUGGGCAUCCAGCCUCAGCAGCAAACCACAUAAAUUGGACAUCAUGUGGCUCUCCUGGACCUUCAAGUACAUGCUCCAUUGAACUCUCUGAAUUCAGCUGGCUAAAAAAGAAGAAAGAGAAGAUGGAGAAGGCACAACCAUUCUAAACUGCCUUGACAUGGAGGUGACACCAGUUUUAUUGUAGGAAUAAGUGACAUGAUUGUAUCUAAUUGCAAGGGCCUGGGAAGCACAACUAACCAUGCACCAAAGAAGACAAGAACACAGGCAGCUUGGGUCAUGUGCUACAGCUUUCCUGUGAUCACCUUGCCUCUGAAAUAUCUGAAAAUGGCUUUCUCUUCAUUCAUUUCUACAUCUUCAUUCAUUCUCCCAGGUCUUGCAAUGGUUGUGCACAUAGGUAGAAGAGACUUGCCUUGUCUCAGAUGAGAUUUUGGACGUUUGAAUUAACACUGGAAUGAGUUAAGACUUUCGGGGACUGUCAGGAAGGCAUGAUUGUAUUUUGCAAUGUGAGAAGAAUAUGUAAUUUGAGAGGGACUAGGGACAGAAUGAUAUAGUUUGGAUCUGUAUCCCCACCCAAAUCAUAUGUUGAAUUGUAAUCCCCAAUAUUGGAGGUAGGGCCUGGUGGAAGGUGUUUUGAUCAUGGGAGUGGAUGCCUCAUGGCUUGGUGUUGUCUUUACAAUAGGGAGUUAGUUCUCAUGCGAUCUGGUUGUUUAAAAGUGUGUGGCAUCUGCCCCUCCACCUCUCUCCUUCUUCCUCCUGCUUUCA